UUUGUAUCAUAUAGGCAUCAUAAACAAUAUGGAGUAUACAAUUAAGUAAUAAAAGGGAUUCGUAAGGAUACCUAGCAGAUAUAUUUAAAAGGAUAUAUUUAUAAAAAGUUGAAGUGAAUAAUUUGAAUACUUUAACAAUCCUAAGGAAAACCAAUAUAAUAAAAUACGUUGGGAAUUAAAACAUUUAAGUACCAAUAGGAAAGGAAAUCAAACGAGACUUCUGGAGUAAUGGUGAGUGAAACAGAAUGAGCCUUAUUCUUUUGUCUAUUCUGUUCCAAUGGACUCAUUAAUAUUGUGGAAUUCAAUAUUAUGCUGUGUAUAUUCACAGUUACCAAAGACGGUGAUAGUCCGGUGAUAGUUUUUUAGUCCAAUGAAUAGACAAGGAAUUAAAUAAAGUAAUAUGGAGACGGCUGCUCUGUAUGAAUUUAUAAUAUCUAAGAAAUUAGAUAAUGGGAUACCAUUCUCAAAGGCUAAGUAUAAUAUAUCUAGCGAUAGUGAAGAGUAACGUGAGUGAAAGGUGAAAAGUAAGUGUAUGACUAGUGAAAGAGAUCUUGAAUUACGAAUCCUACAAGCAGUUAGAGUCUAAUAGAAUUAGAUGAUAACGUACCUUUUGCAUAAUGGGUCAGCAAGUUAAUUUUCAAUGCAAGACUAAUAAGUCCUAGUGAAAACGUCUAUGUUUUCUUUAUUAAAAGAUAAAGAAUAUAUGGGUAGAGUAUUGAGAAUUAGAUCCGAAACCAGAUGAUCUUUUUAUGACCAGGUUUAAAAGGACCGAACGUAUGAAUGUUGCAGUAUUCUGCGAUGAGUUGUGAAAAGGGGUGAAAUGCCAAUCUAAUCUGGUGAUAGCUGAUAUUCUGCGAAAUCUAUUUUAGUAGAAAGUAUAUGUAGAUAUAUUUCUGUAUAGCACUGAUUUCCAUUUCUCGUAACCUAUUAGGUUGCACAUAGAAUAAAUUAGGGGGUUAUAAACUCUACUAUUGGAAGUUAACCUCAGAAGGAGAUACUAUCGGUCAUAUACUGACAGUCUAUUUGUGAUAAGGUAAAUAGACAAAAGGGAAACAGCCCAGAUCAUAUAUUAAGGUGCCCUAAAUAAUAUUAAGUGAAAAUAAGAGAGUUUUGUGUUCAAGACAGCUAUGAAGUAAGCUUGGAAGUAGCUAUCUUUUAAUGAAAGUGUAACAACUCAAUAGUCGAUUUUCUGGACACAAAGCAUCGAAGAUUUAUCGGGUCUAGAUAUUAAACCUAAAUUAUGAUAUUAAUGAAUUAAUUAGAUUACUAUUUAAUUCUUAAUAAGGUAGCAGAACACUUAGUAGUUAGGUUGAAGAAUAUUCCUAAGAAUAUUUGGACUCUACUAAAGAGAGAAUGCUGGCAUGAGUAACGAUUAAGAAGUUAUAAUACUUCUCGCCGAAUACGAAAGGUUUUCAUGAAAAAGGUAAUCUGUCAUGAUUUAAACGGAUUCUAAGGUGUAAUAUACGAAUAGUUGUUACCCGAUGAAAUAGAAGAAUACUAUUCCUGAAAUCUUCAGUAAGGAACAAGAAAAAUAUUCUUUUAAUUUAAUUAUAUCCGUACCUUAAACCGACACAGGUUCGUAGGUAGAGUAUACUAAGGCGUAGAGAUAAGGCUAGUGAAGGAACUCGGCAAAAUGCUUCCGUAAGUUCGACGAUAAGGAAGGAGUGUAUAUAUAUCAUAUACACUUAGCAUAAAAGUGGGGGCUUCGACUGUUUACUAAAAACACAGCAACUUGCUAAGACUAGAAGUACUUGUAUAAGUUGUGAACUCUGUCCAAUGCCAAUCCGUGUAAGGGAGGUGAUUUUAGCGUUAGCUAAUUGUCACUAACUGAUGCGGUGGUCAAUGACGGUCUUAACCAUAAGGAUCUGAAAGUAGCAUAUAAUAUUGUUCAAAAUAUAAUCGCUGCUCUUGUUACAUUUCGUAUAGUCAUUUACGAAAACUGAGCCAUUACUCAGUAAGUAACUCAUUGGGUAAAAUGCAAAGAUAUCUUAAUAUAUAACUCUUGCAUUAAUAGAUUUAUUAAUCUGUUAAUUCAUAUUAAGACAAUUUGCAACGAAGUUACUAUCAGUGUAUUUUAAAGAUAGUAAAACGUUCAACGACUAGAGAAUGAGUAGCACUAACAAUAAUUUCUCCGUUUUACAAUGAAUAAAUUGUAAAAUAUUUAUCUAAUUCUUUGAGAAUUAGAUAAAAAGAGCGCCCAACACUUAAUGUUAAUUUAUUAAGUGAUGACAUAGUCUGAACUGCAUAGUAAUAUGUAGAUUUACAAAAAUAAACUUGAACAGGUUUAUCGUUUGCAAGAGUUCAUAUUGUCCAAACGGUUUGACACCUCGAUUAACGUGAGUCAUAGUCGAGUAUAAAUAAACUACAUAGUAAUAUGUAGAAAAUAAUUGGUCGACUCAUCUCAUCCUCCAGGUGUAGUAGCUUGGAAGGGUUCAGCUGUUCGCUGAAUAAAGAGGUACGUGAGUUGGGUUUAAUACGACGUGAGUCAGUAUAGAUUCUAUCCUCGGAAGGGAAUAAGAAUGAAAGAAGAACCUCUAAUUAGUACGAAAGGACCAUUAGGGAUAAUUCAAUGGUGUCUCUGUUGUUGUAUAAUAAAUAUGGCACAGCAGAGUAGCUACAAUUAUAAAAGAGAAGUACUGAAAGCAUCUCAAGUGCGAAACAGAUCUUUGGACAUUCUUUAUAUUUCCAAAUAAGAAAAAGACUAUUUCUUAAACUAGGGCAUGAAUGUAAGUUUAAUGCUACUAAUGAAUUGAAUAACUUAAUUGUACCAUAUUGUAAACC
rnacentral:rRNA from 1 species